UAUGCAUUAUCUUUAUUUAUAUAUUUACCUGUCCGUCACUGUUUGUACUAUCGACUCGAUAAUGCUAAUCGAGUGGCGCUUGCCUGCGUGCGCCACACUAGGCCACCCCAGUCGAUUCGUUUUAGUACGCAUUUGCUUUUAAACGCAAACGGACGUAUCUUCAAAGUAUUUGUGAACCGGCAUUAAAAUUGACAUAUUUGCAAUCAUUUACGCGUUCAAUAAACAGUGAAGACGUCCAGAAAUUCUCUAAUUGGACAGUAUUAAACAAGUAGUGUAUUUUCCUACGUCUAUUAUUUAGUAAGUGCAAGUAUUGUAAUUGUGAUACGUAACGUUAAGAAUGCCAGUCGUAACGUCCAAUUAGUGAAGUGAAAUGGAUUAAUAUUUGUUAGUACAACAACUGCUGUAUAAUGUCGAAGACUUUGAAUGCCUAUAGAAU
rnacentral:lncRNA from 1 species